rnacentral:rRNA from 1 species
ACUGAGGUGUUGGGUGACUGCUUUGUAGUCGCUUAGUACAAAUUUAACUAUCUAAUUAGUUACUAUUUUAAAAAUUAAAUUUUAAAACAACUUUUAAACAAAUGGAUCUCUUGGCUCUUGCAUCGAUGAAGAACGUAGUGAAGUGCGAUAACUAAUGUGAAUUGCAUAACUUUGUGAAUCAUCGAGUCUUUGAACGCACAUUGCACUCUCUAGCUCGCUAGAGAGUAUACCUGUUUGAGUAUUAAUAUUAUUUUUCCAAUCCGUUGGGAUUUGAAGAUCUACAGCUGAACAGUCGUUCACUCUAAUCUUUGAAAUGAAUGUGAUUUUCAGUGAAUAAUUCAAUUAUUCCAAAGUGUGAUGCUGUUUCUGGCAGUCGCCUCAAACUACAGCACUAUGUACGAAUAGGCGAAUUUUCACGGAUUGAAAAUUACGGUGGGUGCACUAAGAAUUUAUUCUUGAAUUUAAUCUCAAAUCAGGUAGGAUUACCCGCUGAACUUAA